UACGUAGGGUGCAAGCGUUGUCCGGAAUUAUUGGGCGUAAAGAGCUCGUAGGCGGUUUGUCGCGUCGAAUGUGAAAACCCGGGGCUCAACCCCGGGCCUGCAUUCGAUACGGGCAGACUAGAGUUCGGUAGGGGAGAUCGGAAUUCCUGGUGUAGCGGUGAAAUGCGCAGAUAUCAGGAGGAACACCGGUGGCGAAGGCGGAUCUCUGGGCCAUUGCUGACGCUGAGGAGCGAAAGCGUGGGGAGCGAACAGG
rnacentral:rRNA from 1 species